rnacentral:misc_RNA from 1 species
AAGUCGUAACAAGGUUUCCGUAGGUGAACCUGCGGAAGGAUCAUUAACACAUAGUCCAUUUGAUGAUGGUUGAAGUGUAUUCUUUUUUAGAGAAUUAUUUCUCUUUGUUGAUACAUUCUCCAUCAUUCAAACCAAUUAGCAAAUGAGUUGAAGUCCUCAUUAUUAAUUAACUUUAAUAAUUGUGUGGAAUAAAACAAAUGUAAUCACGUUUAAUGAAUUCUUUUUAAAAAAAGAACUUCAUUCGACUAAUGUUUACUCAAAAAACAAAUAUAACCAAGACAACUUGUAACAGUGGAUACCUUGGUUCCCAG